UGGUUGGUGGGAAGAUGCUUUAAAUGCUUGGAAUCGAGCCACCACAAAGCCAUGUGCACCGGCGAGAUUCGGUGUCAUCGCUGCUGGCUAUCUGGUCACAUCGCGAGAGACUGCCACGCCUUCUCUAUUUCGGCCCCGCUCGCACCUCCUCCACACAGAUCUACGCCAAGCCACUCCUCCCAUCGUGCCCUCCUCGCCAUGGUGCAGGGAAGGAGGCCGACGGUCUCGCCAGAGGCACUGGUUCAAUCCCUGGACAGGUUCUGCGGGGUGGAGAGGCGACAUGUCAGGGUCGAGGUGACACAUCCAGACGAUUUCUUCAUCUCUUUCGCCUCCACUGAAGAUUGUAACAGAGUGCUCACUAGCUCUGGGAGGGUCAGAUGUGCUGGCGCUCCGAUCGCGUUUCGGCGCUGGCAUAGGAGUGCGCAGGCACGCAGUGGCAAGCUUGCGUUCUUCUGCAAGUUGGGAAUUGAAGGCCUGCCGGCGAGUGCUUGGGAGUGGGGUACAGUCAGUCAGCUAAUCAACAAUUUACAAGGGCUGGUGGAGAUCUUGCCCCAGGAGGAUCGAUGGCAACUCAACCUCACCGCCUGGAUGCGCAACCCAUCUGGUAUCCCAAAGAUUUAUGAUUUGGAGGUCCCGGAACCAGUGGGCUUGCCAAACUCC
rnacentral:rRNA from 1 species